ACCUGUGUAGAAUUUGCAUGAUUUGUCACUUCUGAGAACAUCAUCCAUGAAUACUUGUCUGUAAUAUAAUCAAUGGAUAUACCUUCAUUAUCAACAUUUGUAUCUUGCUCUUCAGAACCCUCAGUUAUUUCAUUUUCCUUAUCAAU